GCGGGCGUAGCUCAGUGGCAGAGCAGGAGGUUUCCAACCUCCGUGUCGCCGGUUCGAUCCCGGCCGCCCGCU
rnacentral:tRNA from 1 species